rnacentral:rRNA from 1 species
GACGAACGCUGGCGGCGUGCUUAACACAUGCAAGUCGAACGGAAAGGCCCUGCUUUUGUGGGGUGCUCGAGUGGCGAACGGGUGAGUAACACGUGAGUAACCUGCCCUUGACUUUGGGAUAACUUCAGGAACUGGGGCUAAUACCGGAUAGGAGCUCCUGCUGCAUGGUGGGGGUUGGAAAGUUUCGGCGGUUGGGGAUGGACUCGCGGCUUAUCAGCUUGUUGGUGGGGUAGUGGCUUACCAAGGCUUUGACGGGUAGCCGGCCUGAGAGGGUGACCGGCCACAUUGGGACUGAGAUACGGCCCAGACUCCUACGGGAGGCAGCAGUGGGGAAUAUUGCACAAUGGGCGGAAGCCUGAUGCAGCAACGCCGCGUGCGGGAUGACGGCCUUCGGGUUGUAAACCGCUUUCGCCUGUGACGAAGCGUGAGUGGCGGUAAUGGGUAAAGAAGCACCGGCUAACUACGUG